AGUGAACGCUGGCGGUAGGCCUAACACAUGCAAGUCGAACGGCAGCACAGAGGAGCUUGCUCCUUGGGUGGCGAGUGGCGGACGGGUGAGGAAUACAUCGGAAUCUACUCUGUCGUGGGGGAUAACGUAGGGAAACUUACGCUAAUACCGCAUACGACCUACGGGUGAAAGCAGGGGAUCUUCGGACCUUGCGCGAUUGAAUGAGCCGAUGUCGGAUUAGCUAGUUGACGGGGUAAAGGCCCACCAAGGCGACGAUCCGUAGCUGGUCUGAGAGGAGGUUCAGCCCAACUGGAACGGAGACACGGUCCAGACUCCUACGGGAGGCAGCAGUGGGGAAUAUUGGACAAUGGGCGCAAGCCUGAUCCAGCCAUACCGCGUGGGUGAAGAAGGCCUUCGGGUUGUAAAGCCCUUUUGUUGGGAAAGAAAUCCAUCUGGUUAAUACCCGGGUGGGAUGACGGUACCCAAAGAAUAAGCACCGGCUAACUUCGUGCCAGCAGCAGCCGCAG
rnacentral:rRNA from 1 species